AGUGAACGCUGGCGGCAUGCCUAAUACAUGCAAGUCGAACGGCAGCACAGUAAGAGUUCGCCCUUACGGGUGGCGAGUGGCGGAUGGGUGAGGAAUACAUCGGAAUCUACUUUUUCGUGGGGGAUAACGUAGGGACACUUAUGCUAAUACCGCAUACGACCUACGGGUGAAAGCAGGGGUUCUUCGGACCUUUCCUGUCUGUAUUAGCCGAUGUCGGAUUAGCUAGUUGGCGGGGUAAGGGCCCACCAAGGCGACGAUCCGUAGCUGGUCUGAGAGGAUGAUCAGCCACACUGGAACUGAGACACGGUCCAGACUCCUACGGGAGGCAGCAGUGGGGAAUCUUGCGCAAUGGGCGAAAGCUUGACGCAGCCAUACCGCGUGAGUGAAGAAGGCCUUCGGAUUGUAAAACCCUUUUAUUAGGGAAGAAAAGCUGCGGAAGAAUACCCGGCUGUUCUGACGGUACCCAAAGAGUAAGCACCGGCUAACUUCGUG
rnacentral:rRNA from 1 species